GAGAAAGGAGAGAAAGGAAAGCGCGAGGAGCCGCCGCCACCACCAGCGCAGCAGUCCUGGAGCUGUGAGGAGAUUCGGGCCGUCACCCUGCCUCCCCUGCGUCCCGCCACCGGCCGCUUCUGUCCUCGGACCCAUUCCAACAAUCUCGUAAAACAUGGUGGAUUACUAUGAAGUUCUAGGCGUGCAGAGACAUGCCUCACCCGAGGAUAUUAAAAAGGCAUAUCGGAAACUGGCACUGAAGUGGCAUCCAGAUAAAAAUCCUGAGAAUAAAGAAGAAGCAGAGAGAAAAUUCAAGCAAGUAGCGGAGGCAUAUGAAGUGCUGUCGGAUGCUAAGAAACAGGACAUCUAUGACAAAUAUGGCAAAGAAGGAUUAAAUGGUGGAGGAGGAGGUGGAAGUCAUUUUGACAGUCCAUUUGAAUUUGGCUUCACAUUCCGUAACCCAGAUGAUGUCUUCAGGGAAUUUUUUGGUGGAAGGGACCCAUUUUCAUUUGACUUCUUUGAAGACCCUUUUGAGGACUUCUUUGGGAAUCGAAGGGGUCCCCGAGGAAGCAGAAGCCGAGGGACGGGGUCGUUUUUCUCCGUGUUCAGUGGAUUUCCGUCUUUUAGAAGUGGAUUUUCUUCUUUUGAUACAGGAUUUACUUCAUUUGGGUCACUAGGUCACGGGGGCCUCACUUCAUUCUCUUCCACGUCAUUUGGUGGUAGUGGCAUGGGCAACUUCAAAUAGAUAUCAACUUCAACUAAAAUGGUUAAUGGCAGAAAAAUCACUACAAAGAGAAUUGUCGAGAACGGUCAAGAAAGAGUAGAAGUUGAAGAAGAUGGCCAGUUAAAGUCCUUAACAAUAAAUGGUAAGGAGCAGGUGCUGCGCUUGGAUAACAAGUAAUUCAACGCACGCACUUAACAGAAAUGUUAAACUAUAACAAGCACCAUUUGAGGAUUAACAGGAACAUUUUUUUGAAGAUUUCAAACGAACUCGACUUUCAGUAUAAUUGUACCUAAAGUAUUUAUAAACAGCUCAUCGGAGCCUCUAUUUGUCAUAGACUUUUGAGUUGAUUGUUGGGACCACAUAAUAGGACCAUUUUUUUUUUGUCUUUAAAAUUGUUGUAAAUCUCUGUAUGCACUUUGCUUUUUUAUUAAACGUACUCCAAGGUGAGUCUUGACUCUUUAGUGUAGGACAAGAUUGUACACUAACACCAGCAUGGACCUGCUUUUCAUUGUGUCUGAAAUGUGAGCCACGUAGUGUCGGCCUGCUGUGAAGUUAACAUUGCCAGGACGAUUCUUCUACAGAAAUAAUUUCAAAUUUUUUCAGCAUUUAGUAGUGAAAGAUAUUAAUACAUUAAUGGUAAUACAUUUCUGGUUUAAUAUAAAUUAAGGAUGUUUUCUAGUUGUGCAUGAAUGCUGGCAACUUAGUAAGUUUUGACAAUUGUUUAAAUAUGUAAUGUUAAGCUUAGGUUUAAAAAAGUAAAGCUGGUAAACUGGGUCUUUGUCAUUUGCUUUAAAAAAAAAAAAAAGAAAAUAAAUGCGAAUGUGUUGGUGCAUUCAAAAAAAA
rnacentral:lncRNA from 1 species